UACGUAGGGUGCGAGCGUUGUCCGGAUUUAUUGGGCGUAAAGGGCUCGUAGGCGGUUUGUCGCGUCUGCCGUGAAAGUCCGGGGCUCAACUCCGGAUCUGCGGUGGGUACGGGCAGACUAGAGUGCAGUAGGGGAGACUGGAAUUCCUGGUGUAGCGGUGAAAUGCGCAGAUAUCAGGAGGAACACCGAUGGCGAAGGCAGGUCUCUGGGCUGUAACUGACGCUGAGGAGCGAAAGCAUGGGGAGCGAACAGG
rnacentral:rRNA from 1 species